rnacentral:piRNA from 1 species
UNGACAGUAAGUUCUGGCCUCGACCUCGAC